AAACAAUCAACAAUUUGAAUAUAUGAAAUUCCUUGAGAAAACAAAAGCUAUAUGACUCUGACUAGGAGAUUCAUCUGUGGAACCAACCCAUUACUAACUGAAGCUUUCUGGUAAAUCUCUUGGCCCAGAAUACUUGUAUAACUACAAAACCCAGAGAAACUCCAGGCAACACAUGAAAAAAAACACACAUCCUAGAACUGAGGUGGGGAGGGAGAGGGCAGUCCCUGCUGGGACAUGGUAUUUUUUAAAUGAAGAGCCUAAGUGACAGUUGGGGGGCAUGCGGAUGGAACUCUUUUCUGAUUGGCUCCUGGUUACCAGGCUACUAUAGAAUACACUCCAACUGCCCUAUUGGUCUUGAAAUCAGACCUAAUGGGUAACUGCUUGUGUUGGAAAGGGGAAAAUGCCAGCCCCGAUCCCAAGAAAUUCCAAAAAAAACCAGCUAUUGCCUGGUGGAUUCAUUUUGAAACUUUGGAAACAAACCCUUCUGUCUAUAUAAAGGAAAUGCCAAUCUUCCCAAGAAAAUAUCAAUCUUACGCCCAUGAUUGGAAGCAGAACACCACUUUGAAAUAUGUA